AACACCCUACAAAUUAAUAGACCCAUAAUGGGCUUGACCCUUAUCUGGACCUACCAUUGAAAGAGCUUUGUAAGUUGUACCACCAUAUUUCAAUUUAACCAAAUCGCAUAAUCUAUAUAUAUAAUUCAAUAUUCAAUUCAAUUUAUUUUUUUCAAUACCAUCUAAUGUAUACUAGGAAUAGGAUAAAAACUAGUACCAGAAAAACAUCAUUAAUUAUAAGCUAUCUUGAUGAUGCAAGAAAUAUUUUUGCU
rnacentral:lncRNA from 1 species